rnacentral:rRNA from 1 species
AAUGAACGUUGGCGGCGUGGAUUAGGCAUGCAAGUCGCGCGACAAGGAACCUUCGGGUUCUGGAGGAGCGGCAAACGGGGUAGUAAGGCAUCGGAACGUACCCUCACGUCUGGGAUAGCCACGGGAAACUGUGGGUAAUACUGGAUAAUCUCACCACUUGUGAAGAGUGGUGAGCAAAGGUCCGCCGCGUGAGGAGCGGCCGAUGCGAUACUAGAUAGUUGGUGGGGUAAUGGCCUACCAAGUCUAAGAUGUCUAGGGGGUGUGAGAGCAUGGCCCCCACCACUGGGACGUGAGACACUGCCCACGACACCUACGGGUGGGCUGCAGUCGAGAAUCUUUGGUCGAAUAGGGCGGCAAGACC